rnacentral:rRNA from 1 species
CCUACGGGAGGCAGCAGUGAGGAAUAUUGGUCAAUGGCCGGAAGGCUGAACCAGCCAUGCCGCGUGAAGGUCAGUGCCCCAUGGGCGUUAAACCUCUUUUGUGCGGGAGCAAUAAUGGUCACGUGUGGCCAGACGAGAGUACCGUACGAAUAAGCAUCGGCUAACUCCGUGCCAGCAGCCGCGGUAAUACGGGGGAUGCAAGCGUUAUCCGGAUUUAAUGGGGUUAAAGGGUGCAUAGGCUGUGAGGUAAGUCAGCGGUGAAAUGCCCCCACUCAACGGGGUGAAGUGCCAUUGAUACUGGCUGGCUGGAGUGCAGGUGCGGUGGGAGGAAGGUGUGGUGUAGCGGUGAAAUGCAAAGAUAUCACGCAGAACACCGAUUGCGAAGGCAUCUCACGGAUCCGCAAUUGACGCUGAUGCACGAAAGCGUGGGUAUCAAACAGGAUUAGAUACCCGGGUAGUC